GCUCCCAUGGUCUAGUUGGUUAUGACGACGCCUUAACACGGCGUAGGUCGCCGUUUCAAUUGCGGCUGGGAGUA
rnacentral:tRNA from 1 species